rnacentral:rRNA from 1 species
GACGAACGCUGGCGGCGUGCUUAACACAUGCAAGUCGAACGAAGUGGAGAACGGGUGAGUAAUACGUGGGUAAACUGCCCUCCUUUUUGGGAUAAGCCUUGGAAACGGGGCCUAAUACCGAAUCAAGGGGGAUGGGCUUGCGGCCUAUCAGCGUGUUGGUGGUGUUCGGGCCUACCACGGCGGUGACGGGUAACCGGCCUGAGAGGGUGACCGGCAAUGUUGCGACUGAGAUACGUCCCAGACUCGUACGGGAGGUAGCAGUGGGGGAUAUUGCACAAUGGGCGAAAGCCAGAUGCAGCGACGCCGCGUGGGGGAUGAAGGCUUUCGUGUUGUAAGCCUCUUACGCUAUCGAACGGGUAGGUAGAGAGGAAGCGCCGGCUAACUACGUGCCAGCAGCCGCGGUAAUUC